AGUGAACGCUGGCGGUAGGCCUAACACAUGCAAGUCGAACGGCAGCACAGUAAGAGCUUGCUCUUACGGGUGGCGAGUGGCGGACGGGUGAGGAAUACAUCGGAAUCUACUUUUUCGUGGGGGAUAACGUAGGGAAACUUACGCUAAUACCGCAUACGACCUACGGGUGAAAGCAGGGGAUCUUCGGACCUUGCGCGAUUGAAUGAGCCGAUGUCGGAUUAGCUAGUUGGCGGGGUAAAGGCCCACCAAGGCGACGAUCCGUAGCUGGUCUGAGAGGAUGAUCAGCCAGACUGGAACUGAGACACGGUCCAGACUCCUACGGUAGGCAGCAGUGGGGAAUAUUGGACAAUGGGCGCAAGCCUGAUCCAGCCAUACCGCGUGGGUGAAGAAGGCCUUCGGGUUGUAAAGCCCUUUUGUUGGGAAAGAAAAGCAGCAGGUUAAUACCCCGCUGUUCUGACGGUACCCAAAGAAUAAGCACCGGCUAACUUCGUG
rnacentral:rRNA from 1 species